rnacentral:rRNA from 1 species
CCUACGGGAGGCAGCAGUGAGGAAUAUUGGUCAAUGGCCGGAAGGCUGAACCAGCCAUGCCGCGUGAAGGUCAGUGCCCUAUGGGCGUUAAACUUCUUUUGUGCGGGAGCAAUAAUGGUCACGUGUGGCCAGACGAGAGUACCGUACGAAUAAGCAUCGGCUCACUCCGUGCCAGCAGCCGCGGUAAUACGGGGGAUGCAAGCGUUUUCCGGAUUUAUUGGGUUUAAAGGGUGCGUAGGCUGGGAGGUAAGUCAGCGGUGAAAUGCCGCCGCUCAACGGGGUGAAGUGCCAUUGAUACUGGCGUGCUGGAGUGCGGAAGCAGUGGGAGGAAUGUGUGGUGUAGCGGUGAAAUGCAUAGAUAUCACACAGAACACCGAUUGCGAAGGCAUCUCACGAAUCCGCGAUUGACGCUGAGGCACGAAAGCGUGGGUAUCAAACAGGAUUAGAUACCCGUGUAGUC